GAUGAACGCUGGCGGCGUGCCUAAUACAUGCAAGUCGAGCGAACGGACGAGAAGCUUGCUUCUCUGAUGUUAGCGGCGGACGGGUGAGUAACACGUGGAUAACCUACCUAUAAGACUGGGAUAACUUCGGGAAACCGGAGCUAAUACCGGAUAAUAUUUUGAACCGCAUGGUUCAAAAGUGAAAGACGGUCUUGCUGUCACUUAUAGAUGGAUCCGCACUGCAUUAGCUAGUUGGUAAGGUAACGGCUUACCAAGGCAACGAUGCAUAGCCGACCUGAGAGGGUGAUCGGCCACACUGGAACUGAGACACGGUCCAGACUCCUACGGGAGGCAGCAGUAGGGAAUCUUCCGCAAUGGACGAAAGCCUGACGGAGCAACGCCGCGUGAGUGAUGAAGGUCUUCGGAUCGUAAAACUCUGUUAUUAGGGAAGAACAUAUGUGUAAGUAACUGUGCACAUCUUGACGGUACCUAAUCAGAAAGCCACGGCUAACUACGUG
rnacentral:rRNA from 1 species